rnacentral:pre_miRNA from 1 species
AUACUACUCCCUCCGUUCCAAAUUACUCGUCACAAAAAUGGAUGUAUCUAGAACUAAAAUACAUCUAGAUACAUCCAUACCCGCGACAAGUAAUUCGGAAUGGAGGGAGUACCUC